UUGCUUCCACAGCAUAUAUACUAAAACUGGGACGAUACAGAGAUUAGCGUGGCCCUUGCUCAAGGAUGACACACAAAUUUGUGAAGUGUUCCAUAUUAAA
rnacentral:snRNA from 1 species